ACAGCCAUAUCACAUUGAAACACCAGUUCCCAUAUGUUUACUGAAGUUAAGCAACAUUGAGCCUGGUCAGAAUCUAGAUAGAUGACUGCUUGGGAAUACUAGGUGCUGUAAG